rnacentral:rRNA from 1 species
AAUAGAUACCCCGGUAGUCCACGCCCUAAACGAUGAUAACUCGAUGUUAGCGAUAUACCGUUAGCGUCCAAGCGAAAGCGUUAAGUUAUCCACCUGGGGAGUACGCCCGCAAGGGUGAAACUCAAAGGAAUUGACGGGGGCCCGCACAAGCGGAGGAGCAUGUGGUUUAAUUCGAUGAUACGCGAGGAACCUUACCCGGGCUUGAAAGUUACUGAAGAAUGCAGAGACGCAUUCGUCCUUCGGGACAGGAAACUAGGUGCUGCAUGGCUGUCGUCAGCUCGUGCCGUGAGGUGUUGGGUUAAGUCCCGCAACGAGCGCAACCCUAUGUUUAGUUGCCAGCACGUUAAGGUGGGGACGUCUGGACAGACUGCCUGCGUAAGCAGAGAGGAAGGUGGGGACGACGUCAAGUCAUCAUGGCCCUUACGUCCGGGGCUACACACGUGCUACAAUGGACGGUACAGCGGGCAGCUACACAGCAAUGUGAUGCUAAUCUCGAAAAGCCGUUCACAGUUCGGAUCGGGGUCUGCAACUCGACCCCGUG